rnacentral:rRNA from 1 species
GGUUUGAUCAUGGCUCAGAUUGAACGCUGGCGGGAUGCUUUACACAUGCAAGCCGAACGGCAGCACGGACUUCGGUCUGGUGGCGAGUGGCGAACGGGUGAGUAAUGUAUCGGAACGUGCCUAGUAGCGGGGGAUAACUAAGCCGCAUACGCCCUUCGGGAAAGCGGGGGGACCUUCGGGCCUCGCACUAUUAGAGCGGCCGAUAUCGGAUUAGCUAGUUGGUGGGGUAACGGCUCACCAAGGCGACGAUCCGUAGCUGGUUUGAGAGGACGACCAGCCACACUGGGACUGAGACACGGCCCAGACUCCUACGGGAGGCAGCAGUGGGGAAUUUUGGACAAUGGGGAAACCUCCUGAUCCAGCCAUCCUGCGAUGAAGGCCUUCGGGUUGUAAAGCACUUUGGCAGGAAAGAAACGGCACGGGAUAAUACCCUGUGCAACUGACGGUACCUGCAGAAUAAGCACCGGCUAACUACGUGCCAGCAGCCGCGGUAAUACGGUGGGUGCAAGCGUUAAUCGGAAUUACUGGGCGUAAAGCGUGCAGGCGGUUCGGAAAGAAAGAUGUGAAAUCCCAGAGCUUAACUUUUGGAACUGCAUUUUUAACUGAGCUAGAGUGUGUCAGAGAGGUGGAAUUCCGCGUAGCAGUGGGAAAUGCAGAUAUAUGAGGAACCGAUGCGAAGGCCCUGGGAUGUCAACCACUGAUUCAUGCACGAAAGCGUAGAGCGUCAGGAUUGAUAAUCCUUAAGAAAAUCACGCUUUGAACGAUGUCAGACUACAGCGUUAGCUCUUCGUCCAAGCAUAAAGCCAACGUGUUGACCGCCUGGGGAGUACGGUCGCAAGAUUAAAACUCAAAGGAAUUGACGGGGACUCCACGCGGUGGAUGAUGUGGAUUAAUUCGAUGCAACGCGAAAACCUUACCUACCCUUGACAUGUCUGAAUCCCGAAGAGAUUUGGGAGUGCUCGCAAGAGAACCGGAACACAGGUGCUGCAUGGCUGUCGUCAGCUCGUGUCGUGAGAUGUUGGGUUAAGUCCCGCAACGAGCGCAACCCUUGUCAUUAGUUGCUACGAAAGGGCACUCUAAUGAGACUGCCGGUGACAAACCGAGGAAGGUGGGGAUGACGUCAAGUCCUCAUGGCUCCUUAUGGGUAGGGCUUCACACGUCAUACAAUGGCCGGGAGCAGAGGGUCGCCAACCCGCGAGGGGAGCCAAUCCCAGAAACCCGAUCGGGAACUGGAUCGCAGUCUGCAACUCGACUGCGGAAGUCGGAAUCGCUAGUAAUCGCGGAUCAGCAUGUCGCGGUGAAUACGUUCCCGGGUUCCGUACACACCGCCCGUCACACCAUGGGAGUGGGUUUUACCAGAAGUAGUUAGCCUAACCGUAAGGAGGGCGAUUACCACGGUAGGAUUCAUGACUGGGGUGAAGUCGCACAAGGUAA